rnacentral:rRNA from 1 species
UGCUUUUCUGAAUCUAGUGGCGAACGGGUGAGUAACACGUAGGUAACCUGCCCAUGUGCCCGGGAUAACUUCUGGAAACGGAUGCUAAAACCGGAUAGGUAGCAGACAAGCAUUUGACUGCUAUUAAAGUGGCUAAGGCCAUGAACAUGGAUGGACCUGCGGUGCAUUAGCUAGUUGGUGAGGUAACGGCCCACCAAGGCGACGAUGCAUAGCCGGCCUGAGAGGGCGGACGGCCACAUUGGGACUGAGACACGGCCCAAACUCCUACGGGAGGCAGCAGUAGGGAAUUUUCGUCAAUGGGGGGAACCCUGAACGAGCAAUGCCGCGUGAGUGAGGAAGGUCUUCGGAUCGUAAAGCUCUGUUGUAAGAGAAAAACGACAUUCAUAGGGAAUGAUGAGUGAGUGAUGGUAUCUUACCAGAAAGUCACGGCUAACUACGUGCCAGCAGCCGCGGUAAUACGUAGGUGGCGAGCGUUAUCCGGAAUGAUUGGGCGUAAAGGGUGCGUAGGUGGCAGAACAAGUCUGGAGUAAAAGGUAUGGGCUCAACCCGUACUGGCUCUGGAAACUGUUCAGCUAGAGAACAGAAGAGGACGGCGGAACUCCAUGUGUAGCGGUAAAAUGCGUAGAUAUAUGGAAGAA